UAUAAAAAAAUAACCUAUAUGGGAAAAGAAUCUGUAAAGGAAUAGAUAUAAUUGAUUUAGCAUAUAAAAAAUAACCUAUAUGGGAAAAGAAUCUGUAAAGAAAUAGAUAUAAUUGACUGACUUUGCGGUAUGCCUGAAAUUAACACAACUUCAUAAGUCAUCUAUACUCCACUAUUUUUUUUAAAGGUAUCAUGGUAUGUACCGUACAAACCUAGAAGCUUAUGGUCAUUUAGUGUAAAUAAAAAGAGCCUAGUACAUUUCAAAAGCCUCUAGGUUCAUCUCUAUUAAAAUACAGGGAAAUGUUUUACAUUAUUAAUAAUACUAAGAUUCUAGUAGAGAUAACUGUUUAUUUUCUUGAAGGGCAGAGGUCCCUGCUAUACAGUGUAGACUAUUUAGCAGCAUCCCUGGACUCAGGAUCAUUUAAUAUCUUAAACAAAAAGUUGAAUGGUAUUACUUUGUUCAUUCCUUCAAUUUAAAAUUUAUGAACUCUCAUCCUUCUGCCAUUAUCUGUAAUGCAUCUAUCUAGUAUAUAUACUUUCACUAAGAGUGAUAAGAAUUGUGGUUAAAAAAAAUAGUGUAACACUUGUUCUAUGAAAGAGUAUUGUUCUCUACUCAUAAUUAGAAAGCUAAAAUGCAAGUUACAAUUUUUAGAGCUGAUAGUGAACUUUUUAAUUUCAUCCCCACUCCCCCACAUUGAAUACAUCAUCUCUCUAUUAGUUAGCCUGGCAACAAGGCAAUGUUUGUCUAUGAUGGUUCAAUACUGAGCAAAGUCUUAAAUCCACAUAGCGUUGUCAAUCCCAUUACAGAAACAUUUAUCAGAAAUGUAUGUGGGUGGAUGAGCUGCUCAAGGCACUUGAAAAACACAGGCAAAUAGUAUAUUAAGGAAGCCCUGGAUCCUUACUCGGUAGCCAGUUCCAGGAACUUGGCCAGAAUCUGGGAUCUCUCACCCCAUUCUCCUGCAACACCUCCUAUGCAGCAUCUCCCUCCGGCAGCCUUACAACCUUUCACUGAUAUGAUCACUGAUACAAUCUGGUCUAUCAAGACUGGAAACAUUUCCUAAAAGAUGAAGCUAUCCAGGGCAAUCUACCCAAUACUCUGUGAUGGCCUAUAUGGGAAAAGAAUCUGAAAAAGAAUGGACAUCUCCAUAUCCAUAACUGAUUCAUUUCGUGUACAGUUGAAGCUAACACAACACUGACCUUGAGCACAAAGGAGCUCACAGUGAAGCAGAAGAAUUGCACAGAAAGGAGAGAAGAUGCUGGUGGUGGGUACAUGGGAGCCUUAGUGGAGCCUGCCUGCCAGAAGGCCUGAUGGGAGACUGAGGCUGGAGUUGGCUGCAGUGUCUGACACUAUUUUUGAUUACAAAGUUAUUAAACAUAACUUUCUGUCAUCAAGACACAAGUCUGGUCAAGGGAGAAAAAUAAACAAAGCACACUUCACCUCAGAGCUAUAACAGUCAUUAAGUAAUAGCCCACUGAUUGAUGUGGAGAAAUAACCUAUGUAUCUACUUCUAGACCUUUAUCUCUACCUAGAAAAAUCAAUGAUGAUAGAAAAUAAAUUGAUACUGAAAUAUUAGUAUAUUUAAUAUUGUUAUUAAACAAUUAAAAUGUUAUAAAUGUAUUUUUAAAAUCAAAAGGUAAACUCUCAAUAUAAACUUAAAGUGGACAUAUCCAUCCCUAGUUUUUAAAAAUAUUAACAGUUUUGAAAUAUAAGUACAUUAGUGCUAAAUAUUAAAGUGAUAUCUUUUUACACAUAGCCUCUGAAGGGCAGCAAAUUUGUUUUUGUUUCUCCAGUGCUUGCACAGUGCCUGAUAUACUAUAGGUCAGCCUUUCAAUUUGUUGAAAGGCUGUGAAAUCGCUGGAACCAAGUAAAUUAUUAUUGCCCAAUAAUAUUAUUUAUUAAUAAAAAUACUGUCCAAUAUUUUGUAUAUGUGAUACAUUUCCAGGGUAUUGUACAGUCCCCUUAAUUGAGUGCUGAAAGACAAAGAAUGCAGUGCUUUAGAUACAAGAGAUGUUAUAUCUACUCAUAUAAUGAUAUUAAAAAAGCACAACACUAGCCUUUUAAUUUUAUAACUCCUUGUUUUCAUUUCACAGCUAUGUGAAAUAGAGCACAGUAACAUUGCAAUUUUGGAAAAAUGACCUAGACAGCAAGACAAAUUUCCCAGAAGGGAGAUAUUUGGCGUCAGUGAAAGGGAAUUGUUUAACAAACCAGUCAGAAUAACUGCAACUAAACAUCCAUUAUAUGAUGUUAGACUAGCCUAGGGAAUCAAUUGAUAUUUUAAUAGAGUUUGUUGAUGAAAAUUUCCUUCUUUAGGAAAAUAAAAACAUUUGAUACUUCUUAUAUACCUAGAAAAAUUGAUAAUAGUAUAUUGGGGUAUAUUGGUGUUUUUUUAAAUUAUGAUUAAUGCAAUGUGUCUAGAUUUAUUUUUUCCAAGAUUUUUCCAUCUGUUGGUGCCAUCAACUCUUGAACAAAUUGGGGGAUUGUUGUAUUAUCUUGUUUCAUGAACAAUACGGCAAAGAUAACAUUUAACUCCUUUCAUUUCUCUGUGCUAAGACUCUUCACUGUAAACUUUUUACUUUCACGGAAAAUCAAGAGGAAAUUUUAUACCACUUCAAUCACACGUUUCUUUUUUUCCCCCUUUCUUCAAGCUUAAAAUGUGCACCAAAUACAAUAUGCUCAUAUGUAAAAUUCUAAACAAAUAUUUAAUGAAGAAUUACACGUGCAAGUCAUCAUAUCAGAAGAAAUAAAUGACAAUGUGAUAUAAAACACAGUCCUUUUCCUACUCAUUGUUUACAUUUGGUCAACCAGACCUAUAAAAAUAAUUCAAACAAUAAAUGCUAAUAUUGCUCCCUAUCCCCAGAAACUAAUCUCCAUGUUCUGAUGCCAAUGCCAGUGAGUGUGAAUCACUAUCAUCAGGUCCCUAAGAAGAAAAAUGGGUACCACAAAGACUCCUUCCUCUCCUUAAUCCUAAAUAUAUAAAUGCCCUAGAUUCUGCCAUGUUAAUUUAUCUUUAACUGACUCCUCCUUCUUCCUUCAUCUUUCACAUUGGCAGAAACGGUUUGUUGCCCCAAAAUUAAACCCUGAUCCCAUUAUAACCCACCAAAAACUUUGCACUUGCCUAGAGAAUAAAUUAUCUUGCUUCUUUCUCAUGGCACCUGCUAGUACCUAGUAUCUUUCAGCCUCAUCAAACUGCUAGAGGUUCUGCAUAUUCUGCUGUUUUGAUCACUGUGCUCUGAUAGAUCAAACAUCUGUAUGACAUUAAUCCUUGCACUCAGUCAUUUUUUUUCCAGCAAAUAUUUACUGAAGACCUAGUAGCUGCUCUAGAUUCAGAUCUGGGAUAAAAAAAAAAAAAAUCACCUAAAUAUGUAAAUCUUAAGGAGAUCAGAGUGAAGCCAAGAGUAAAAUUAAUCAGACAGUCAUGCUCUUUUCAUGACCUCAACUCCUGCCCACUCCUAGCUCCUCACUUUGCUGCAGCCUUCUAACCUCUUUGUUGACCAAACAGCUCAAGCUGGCUCUCACUUCAGGGUCUUGACACAUUGUUCCUUUUGCUUGAAAUACUCUUCUUCUGGGGAGUGCGUUGUCUAGCUCCCUUAUCUUAUUUGGGUCUCUGUUCAAAUAUCUUCUAAUAAUAUUUUCCAGGGUAAAAAGUGAUCUGUUCCUUUGUCAUUUUUUUUUCCUUCAAAAUAUUUAUCGCUAUAGAUAUUAUAUGUAUAACUGUUGAUUUUUCAAUGCAGAUUCUAUUAAGGAUGGAUCUCUUCUAUUAGUCUGCUGCUGUUUCCUCAAACCUUAAAAUAGCGUCUUGUGUAGUGGUUAUAUAUUUGGUAUAAAUUCAUUAUAUAUAUAUUUAAUUAUACAUUGAAUGUUACACUACGAUGAUAGGGUGAGAUGAUAUAUAAAUUAACAAUGGAAGAUUAGUACAGUUCUCUAAGAGAUGGGAAUUUCCUUUUGCAUAUUAAUGAGGAAUAGGGUAUUUAGAUAGACUAUCUAUCUCUUUUUACUGCAAAAAGGCCACUUGUAGUUCAUUUAGGUAAAAGAAUGACAUAGAAAAUAUAUUAAAAAAAUCCAUCACAAAACUGUUCAAGACAUACUUUGUUAUUCAAUAUUUAGUGCAAAUGCUUUUCCGAAUAUAAAAAUAAAGUAAAAUUGUGCACGAUGUGGAAAUUUCUGUCAUUUAUAGUCAGUUAUUGAGGAAACAUUUCUUAUUUUCCAAAUUUCCACUGUUAACUCCUUGACUAAAAAAUAGAAAAGAGAAAUGAAAAUAGGUUAUCUUCUUUCCCACAUAAAAGCAUAAAACCAGAAAAUAAUCUGUGAGGGACUGGCUAUUCCUUGACAUUUCAUGAAUUAAACACACAAGUCUUGAGAGAUUUUAACUACUUAUGUGUUGAAGAAAGAUGCAUUAUUUUUUUUCUUUGGGAAGAGAUGAAGAAGAUGAUAAUGGAUCAAAAGUUAACCUAAUAAUCUUAAUUUGGGACAAAAAUGGCAAAAUAAAUAUGAAGACAAGCAGAAAAUUGAGAGAACACUGUAAGCCAAUUAUAAUGGAAAAAAUAAAAAUCAUAAAAAAUUAAAAAUAUUUUUAAAAAGAAGGAUGGUGGAAAUGAAAAAGAUGGGAAAAAAUGAAAAACAAGUAGGGGCACAAAGCAGGAGAAAUGCUGAGUUCUGAGUCUGAUGUGAGGCAUUGAUGGAGACUAAAGCCUCAUUCAGCAGAUUAGGAGAUAGGCAGCAAGAGUUAUCUUCUUAUAGCCAUAAAUGAUUAUUUUGCCCCUAGUUGGCAAAAUGAAAUAUCAACAAAAUAAAAAUUCUAACAACUAUCCCCAUACAUAGAACUUUGUACAGGGUUGUUCACUUUUUAGUUAGUAUACGCCAUGACAUCUUCCAAGUUAACAUCAGUCUUGGUGAUUAUUUAAUUUUACAUGAGUUUUAUACAAUAUUCAGAGAUUCUAAAUCAGUUAGAAAGCAUCAAUCAUUCUUACCUAAACUAAAUUCAUAUGGAAAAUCAAGAUAAAGUAUUUUCUUAAAGGAACAUGACUUAAUCUGUAUCAUUAGUUCUUGUUAUUAGAACAUUUCUAAUAACUUCUCGUAUAACUGUCAUUCUAUUUUCCUAGUCUCACCUAGAAUUGGGAACAUGCAUUUCAUGAGACAAUACUUGCUUUUUUGGUUGCUGUUAUACAACAUGUCUCAAAUCACAGAACUACUUGCAAAUGGAUUUAAUGAGCAUAAAAAUGUUCCCACCAGCCAAAACCCAAAAUGUCAUCAUUUCCAUAUUCUCCCUCCUAUUAGGAUUAUAGUCACAACAGAAAAAUUGAAAAAGGCAGCAAACUUCCUGCUAUUUAUGUGACAGUGUAAUUGACAAUUACCUUGAUGGAGUUAAUUUAUGAUGUAAUGCUCAAUGAUAUUUAAUAUACCCCAGCAAAAGCUCAGAAUAAAAUAUAUUCUACAAUCCACAUGGCAUCUUAUACAGUCAAACUAAUGGAGCCAACAUGACUAUAUAACAUCAUGAUCAUCUAUCAUUAUUGUCCUUAUGACUCUGGUCAAUCAAACUUACCAGGUAUGAAAAAACAAACUCUAAAGCUAUAAUGAAGCUUCAGAUUUCACUUUGUUCACACAUAUUCCAAGAAAAGCAUAUAACAAUGAUACCACAUUUUAAAAUAAAAGCAAUAAUAUGACUGAGGCAACAAAACAAAUCUUUAAGAUGUGUUUCACAAUUUGUCAAAAUGAUGCCCUGAAAAAUUGAAAACCAUGGCACACUCCCCAAGCUGCAAUCAUAAUCACAUAGCAUUAAUAUUUGUUCUCUGGUCUUCUGCCUUUCUGUAGUAUCUUCAUUUUCACCUCUCAAGCUAAAAAUCACAUGCCCCUCCUCAGUGCUUCUCUUCAAAACCUCCAUCACAUUCACUACAUGCUGCCUUGAGUGGUAUUCACUGGGGUAUGUUUACAAUCCUUUACUGUCCGAUUAGUUUCUCACACUAGACUGUAAAGUCCUUCAGGGCCAGGACCUGGUUUAAUUUGAAAUACUUGUGGAGGUAAUAUUUGUUGUGUACCAAAGGCUGAAUCCCUAUACAUAAUUUCUUGAUAGCAGAGUCCUGAUUAUAUUCUAGAUGCACUUCUAUAUACUAUGUAGUCCAGAAAGGGGUAAUAUUUUUUCCCGGUCCAGAGAGUGUCUUAUCACUAUAUUCUCUUCUCUUUCCAGUAAUUGGUUUAGGCAGAAUUGUUAGGCAUAACACUGCCUGAUGAGGAGCCAAGGGAAGCCUUUUAGGUGAUUCCUGGAAUAGGAUUUCUAAGCCUUAAAAAAAAAAAAAUCAAGAAGGAGUUAACCAAUCUCCUUCUUUAGAGACUUAGGAGUCUGUAUGUGAUAUCUAUAACUGGAAAUGAUUUAGCGACCAUAAAGGGAAUUUGCCUGAGACACCAAGCAUAGGAAAAAAACAAAACAAAACAAACAAACAAACAAAACACCGCAGCUUCUUGCUUAAAUCAUUUAGCUGCUGAGCCACCAUCCCUGGAAUCAUGUGUCUUCCUGGUAUGAAAGUUAAUUGAUUAAAAAAAAAAAAAAACAAAUUUGUGGUCAAUGUCUUCUAUGUAAUAUAGAUUUUUCCACUUUACCAAGUCCUCAAAUAUGUUAAAUAUCAAACUCUGCUUUCAAGGCAGAAUGUGAGUAUGAGACUAGAAAAACUUACCAAGAAAAUGAUCUUUUGCAUCUUAGAACUACUUUACAGGAUUUCUGAAAUAGAACCUGCAAUAUGAACUUCUAAUAAUCAAAGUUCUAGCAAGUGUAAUACAGUAAAAAGAUGAUGGGUUGAAUCCUCAAGGCAUUUCUCUUUUGUCUUACUAACAAUUCAUUUCUACACUGGGAAAGGGAAAAAAGCAAACUAUUCAAUUUCUAGCACUUCAAAUUUGUAGUACUGAAUGUAAGCUACAAAUUAAAUAUGAAAAGCAAAUCUCAGUGUUUCUAUCUUGAUUUGUAUAUUAAAGGAUAAAACAUCAAAAGUUGUUUACAAAGCUUCCUUUCUGACAUUCAACUUUAAUGAAUAUUCUCUUGACUCUAAAUAGUAUGGUUCAUGCUUUCAAAUAAAGAGCCCAGAGUCAGGGAGAACUUCAGAUGCUGGAGGAUGUUACACCAAACUCUUCACAAAGGCGGCAUUGUACACUGCUCCUAUCAGGGUCUUUUUAAGUCAAAUGCCAUCCUCUUUCUAUAUUAAUACCAAGUAAUAAGAAAGAGCCCAUACAUGAUAGAUAGUAUUGUAAUCUUGUUUACAAUCAGUGACCUAAGUAGAGGAUUGAAAAAAUAUAGUGUAAGAAACAGGUUUGUGAUUUCUAUGCAAAUCUAUUGUCUAUGAGUUUAUGAAUCAAAUCAUUAUUUUUGUUAGGUUACCCAUGAGUUCCCUCAGAAGUUUU